rnacentral:rRNA from 1 species
UACGUAGGGUCCGAGCGUUGUCCGGAGUUACUGGGCGUAAAGCGCGCGCAGGCGGCGGUGUUGGCCCGGCGUGAAAGCCCCCGGCUCAACCGGGGAGAGUCGUCGGGGACCGCACCGCUUGAGGGCGGUAGGGGCUGGUGGAAUGCCUGGUGUAGUGGUGAAAUGCGUAGAUAUCGUGAGGAAGACCAGUGGCGAAGGCGGGUCUCUGGACAGUUCCUGACACUGAGGCACGAAGGCCAGGGGAGCAAACGGG